rnacentral:rRNA from 1 species
UACGUAGGGGCCUAGCGUUGUCCGGAUUUAUUGGGCGUAAAGGGCUCGUAGGCGGUCUGUUGCGUCGGGAGUGAAAACUUACAGCUUAACUGUGAGCGUGCUUCCGAUACGGGCAGACUUGAGGUAUUCAGGGGAGAACGGAAUUCCUGGUGUAGCGGUGAAAUGCGCAGAUAUCAGGAGGAACACCGGUGGCGAAGGCGGUUCUCUGGGAAUAUCCUGACGCUGAGGAGCGAAAGUGUGGGGAGCGAACAGG